rnacentral:rRNA from 1 species
GACAGAGGGUGCAAACGUUGUUCGGAAUUACUGGGUGUAAAGCGCGUGUAGGUGGCAGGCCAAGUCUGUUGUGAAAUCGCCCGGCUCAACUGGGCGCGGUCAAUGGAAACUGGUCAGCUGGAGGACGGUAGAGGCGAGUGGAAUUCCCGGUGUAGUGGUGAAAUGCGUAGAGAUCGGGAGGAACACCAGUGGCGAAGGCGGCUCGCUGGGCCGGUCCUGACACUGAGACGCGAAAGCGUGGGGAGCAAACAGG